GCCUCUGACUGGAGACUAAAGAUUUUCAUGUUUUGCGUCCAGGUAUACAGAAGAACUCGCGAGUUAAAACCGAACAACUUCACAAAAUCAUCUCCACCAAAAAUGCAUUAGCCUUAAGGGAGGAAACCAUGUAUGGGGUUCCAUUUGGGGCCACUGCAAGACAACUACAUGGCUCAGGAUUUUCAAAGUUAUAUUGUCUGACAGCCAGGAAAAAUGCCUAUGUUUUGAGGUCAAAACGUUUUCUGUGUGGGACACAAUGGCUGAGUUUAAACAGGUUGAACACGCUUGAUGUGUUUUCUUCCACUCACUCCACACUGUAAAUCUCUCUUCAACAUUUUAGUUGUUCUAAUGUAUUAUUGUAAUUCAACUGAACAAGCUCAUGUUGUUCAUAUAAAUUAAAAAACUAAGUCAAACAUAUCUUAACUAAACAAAAUUUCUCAAAAUGAAAUGUAGUGUUCAGUUGACUUAACAAUUUGAGUUCAAUCGCCCUUUGGCCCUUCCAGCAUGUAACCACUAGGUGGCGGUAAGAGUGCAAAUGUUCGCUUUUUGCUCAGAAGCAGUAGAAGAAGAAGCUACGGAUGGGGGGAAAGAGAGCGGACGGAGUCUGAACUUCGCGGCCUUUUCAAAUUUACGUUGAUGGGUCGUCAUUUUGCUGAGGAGGUGUCACUUUUUUUUUGACAAAAUAAAGGAUAUUUUGGACGAAGAGAAGACAAAUCACCACAUCUGGAUUCACCUGCAGCCGUGUCGCAGAGGAGAAAUACAUUCAUUCACAUGGUUCCUACCAGGGCUACUAGACCUGUACGAGGCCACGGCUGGGACGCUAGCUGGACUGAGCAAGAUGUUUUGAAUCCCCUGAUGAGGAGGUUUCAAUCAUGGGAGGGCUGAAACUUGGUGUUGUACUAAUUGAAGAUGGAGAAGACAUGGUGGAACAUCAGU